rnacentral:rRNA from 1 species
UACGUAGGGUGCAAGCGUUAAUCGGAAUUACUGGGCGUAAAGCGUGCGCAGGCGGUUUUGUAAGUCUGACGUGAAAUCCCCGGGCUCAACCUGGGAAUUGCGUUGGAGACUGCAAGGCUGGAGUCUGGCAGAGGGGGGUAGAAUUCCACGUGUGAGCAGUGAAAUGCGUAGAGAUGUGGAGGAACACCGGUGGCGAAGGCGGUUCUCUGGGGCCUGUACUGACGCUGAGGAACGAAAGCGUGGGGAGCGAACAGG